UCGGGAAUAUUGCGCAAUGGAGGAAACUCUGACGCAGUGACGCCGCGUGCAGGAAGAAGGUUUUCGGAUUGUAAACUGCUUUAGACAGGGAAGAAAGAAAUGACGGUACCUGUAGAAUAAGCUCCGGCUAACUACGUGCCAGCAGCCGCGGUAAUACGUAGGGAGCAAGCGUUAUCCGGAUUUAUUGGGUGUGAAGGGUGCGUAGACGGGUAUACAAGUUAGUAGUGAAAUCCCUCGGCUUAACUGAGGAACUGCUACUAAAACUAUAUAUCUUGAGUACUGGAGGGGAAAGCGGAAUUCCUAGUGUAGCGGUGAAAUGCGUAGAUAUUAGGAAGAACACCGGUGGUGAAGGCGGCUUUCUGGACAGAAACUGACGUUGAGGCACGAAAGUGUGGGGAGCAAACAGGAUUAGAUACCC
rnacentral:rRNA from 1 species